rnacentral:rRNA from 1 species
GGUUAAGUUAGAAAGGGCGCACGGUGGAUGCCUUGGCACUAGGAGCCGAAGAAGGACGGGACUAACACCGAUAUGCUUUGGGGAGCUGUACGUAAGCGUUGAUCCAGAGAUUUCCGAAUGGGGGAACCCACUAUCUUUAGUCGGAUAGUAUCCUUACGUGAAUACAUAGCGUGAGGAAGGCAGACCCAGGGAACUGAAACAUCUAAGUACCUGGAGGAAGAGAAAGAAAAAUCGAUUUCCUGAGUAGCGGCGAGCGAAACGGAAAGAGCCCAAACCAAGAAGCUUGCUUCUUGGGGUUGUAGGACACUCUAUACGGAGUUACAAAAGAAAGUUAUAAAUGAAGCGGUCUGGAAAGGCCCGCCAAAGACGGUAACAGCCCGGUAGUUGAAAUGGCUUUCCCUCCAGAGUGGAUCCUGAGUACGGCGGAACACGUGAAAUUCCGUCGGAAUCCGGGAGGACCAUCUCCCAAGGCUAAAUACUCCCUAGUGACCGAUAGUGAACCAGUACCGUGAGGGAAAGGUGAAAAGCACCCCGGAAGGGGAGUGAAACAGUUCCUGAAACCGUGUGCCUACAAGUAGUUAGAGCCCGUUAAUGGGUGAUAGCGUGCCUUUUGUAGAAUGAACCGGCGAGUUACGAUUUGUUGCAAGGUUAAGCGGAAAAAGCGGAGCCGUAGCGAAAGCGAGUCUGAAUAGGGCGCAUAAGUAACAGGUCGUAGACCCGAAACCAGGUGAUCUACCCAUGUCCAGGAUGAAGGUAAGGUAAUACUUACUGGAGGUCCGAACCCACGCACGUUGAAAAGUGCGGGGAUGAGGUGUGGGUAGCGGAGAAAUUCCAAUCGAACUUGGAGAUAGCUGGUUCUCUCCGAAAUAGCUUUAGGGCUAGCCUCGAGGUAAAGAGUCAUGGAGGUAGAGCACUGUUUGGACUAGGGGCCCUUCUCGGGUUACCGAAUUCAGAUAAACUCCGAAUGCCAUGUACUUAUACUCGGGAGUCAGACUGCGAGUGAUAAGAUCCGUAGUCGAAAGGGAAACAGCCCAGACCACCAGUUAAGGUCCCCAAAUAUAUGUUAAGUGGAAAAGGAUGUGGGGUUGCUUAGACAACCAGGAUGUUGGCUUA